CUCCUCUUCCUCCUAUUUCUCCUCUUCCUUCUCUCAUUUCUGCUGUCGCGGCGAAACAUCAUUAUCACUAUUUUUUAGCGUAAAACGAUAUUAUAGUAUACUAUUCUAUUUGUCGUAAUAGUGUAGUAUUUCUUUCUCUUUUCUCUCCUCCAUCCCCCUCCUUCCUUUUCUCUUCCUCUCUCCCUCUUCGCUCGUCGUCCUCUCCUUCUUCUCCCUCCCCCUCUCUCCCCUCCCUCCCCCUCCUCCCUCUCUCUCUCCCUCUCUCUCUCUUUCUCUCUCUCCCUCUCUCUCCCUCAUGCCAUCUUAAUCAGACAAUACUAUACGUUUAUAGUAUGUCAUCUUAAUUUCUCUCUCCCUCCCUCCUCCCUCCUCUCCCUCCCUCAUUCCCUCCCUCCCUCCUCCCUCCAUCCCUCCAUCCCUCCUCCCUCAUUCCAUCCCUCCUCCUUCCCUCCAUCCCUCCAUCCCUCUUCCCUCUCUCCCUCUCUCCCUUCCUCCCUCCAUCCCUCAUCCCUCUCUCCCUCUGAUCUCCCUUCCUCCCUCUCUCCCUCAUGCCAUCUUAAUCAGACUAUACUAUAAGGUUUAUAGUUAUGUCAUCUUAAUCUCUCUCUCUCUCUUCUCUCUCUCUCUCUCUCUCUCUCUCUCUCUCUCUCUCUCCUCUCUCUCUCUCUCUCUCUCUCUCUCUCUCUUCUCCCUCCCUCCCUCCCUCCCUCCCUACUUGAUUCCUUGCCCAAAUUGUUAAAACAUUGUAUAUACAAAAAAAGAAAAGUUUAUGUAUUUGUUUCGAGUAUUCUAUACUAUAUAGGCGAUGGUUUGGUUUUACAAUUUGGGUUUAGAGUUUGGGUUAAGAGUUUACGGUUUGAGUUUAGAGUUUAGAAUUUAGGUUUAGGGGGUUUAGGGUUUAGGUAGCUCUGUUUGGAUCUAUGGUUUGGGAUAAGAAUUUGUGUUUAGGGUUUGUAUUUAUAGUUUAGAGUUUUGGUUUAGGGUUUAGGUCAACAAUUGGUAACCAACAUCAAUUGCCAUACUAUUCUAACCGAAAUAUAGUAUAGUUAGAGUGAAAUUAUUCAUGUGACUAUACUAAAUAGUGUGUAGUAUAGUAUGAUAAUUUUAUCUUCUGCAUUUCAACAUCAAUUGCACGCGUCUGGAGGGAGAUUUUGAUCAUGUUUUAUGCAAAUUGUCCCAUCCAUUUUGAAUUACUGUAGAAUGGCUAUAUUUUUCAUUUUUUUACCUCUUAUGAAUAUUCAGCAAAUUCACCCAUAUAUUAUCGGAUGUUACAGAAAGAGAAACAGUGUCUGUAUUUUGUGGUCAAAGAAAUACUAGUACUUAUUGAGUUAUUUCUAAUACAGAAACAGUAUCUGUACUUAUUUUUAAUACAGAAACAGUUAAGUACUGUAAGUAAAAAUAACUUCAAACCUAUGCUAUGAUCCGAAGCAUCUGUUCAUUCCUUAUGGGAAAAGGGGAAAAGUACAAGAAAAAAAGUAGAUAUCUAAGAGAUGACGUAUGCGUAUCUAUCUCUAUCUAUAACACACGUGUGCGUGGAUUAAGCUGUGGGGAUGUUAUUUACGAUAGACACGUGCGUGGAGAUCGAGGAUAUAUGUGCAGAAGUUAAACUUACGGCGAGCUGUGUUUGUAUGGAAGUUAAUUAAGUUUUCAUCAUUUAUUUAUGGAGCAAUAUACUAAAUUCAUUUCUCUAAUUUUAAAAAUCUUCGAAUCUGCCAAACCACGCGGAUCUCUUCAAAGCUUUGGUUAUGUUUUGUUUUAGUUAAAUCCAAGUAAGAUUUUUCCAGUGUUUCAAAAUAAAGCCAACUAAAUAAAAUUUUAUGACUAAUCUAAUUAAAGGUUUAUUAUUAAGUAUUAACCAGUAUUUUUUUAUUAUGUUAAAACCUUGUACCGUCUUCCAGUAAUUGAAAACGGAUCACUAACAGAUUUUAGAAAAUAAUUGUUAGCUACCGAGUCACCCUUCGUAGAGAAUUUUGGUUUUCAACAUAAGAUAGUGUUGAUAGGCUGUCGUUUACAGUGCCCCCAUCUAAUUUUUAUUUUUCCUUCGAUAACUAGUACCGGUUUAAGAAAUGCCAUUUAACCCUAAAAGUAGACAUAAUGAAACAAAUGUCAUGUGCCCCCAUCUAACAAUGAUCCUGCGUCCGCCCCUGAUUGUUUACCUCAUUUAUUCAUAUAAGUUGUUUAGACUAUGCCGUUCCAGGAACGUCCAAAUCACAAUACCCUCUAUCGUAUCCUUAUUUGGUUACCGUUUAGAAUUGAUGUGAGAGUCUGAGACUGUUAUUACCGUCUAAUAAAUGAAUGGACAACAAAAGAGACAGUCAUAAAAUGUGAACUCUUCUGAUUUAAAAUUUGGAGUCUCACCAUUUUGUUUCAGUUUGUAUCUCCAACAUCCACACGAGUCGUGCCCCAAGAUUUUAAUCACGGAGAGGCUGAAAGAAUCACCAAAAACACUAGGACAGUAAACCAUAUUUCAAUAGUGAAAAACAAAAACAGAGAGAAACAGAGUAAAGAAAGCUAAAAACAAUGUAAAAACGAAAACAAAAAUGUCAUACGUGAUGUCUUUAAGCCAGGCCUAACUCAGAACGUGCAAGAACGGAUUAAGAGAAACUGUCCUUCUUCAGUAAACUAAAACAUGUCUAACAGCUCCUGGUUCCACUCAUCAUCUGACUUUGGCACAAACCCUUCUAAGCAUUUGCAGGUUGAAGUACUAAAUACUAAUGGGACCUGAUACAAAAUCCAUAAGACCGUAUAGAUCACAUGAGCUUAGAGGACCUUGAAAAUGCUUAAAUCCACCCUGUGGUGCCACAGUUACACUACGGUGAAUAUCCAGUGAUCCAUCUGAUUGUUUGCUAUAUGUAUGACACAAAAAAAUUCUUAAUGCACAAAAAGUCAAAACUUCUGUGCCAUUCACCUCAUCUUGGUCAAUUGGUGCAUGAAUGCGUCAA